AUGUAACCCAUAGCAUCAAUACAUGAUAGAUGAAAUAGAGGAGUGCAACGAGUGUGUUAUAUGUUCAUAAGAUCUCUAACAAAGUGAAAGACAAGUUCAAUAGAUUUAUAAGAGUGAAUAUUGGAUAUUUAAGAUGCAACAUAUUCACAAGAUGAGUGUGAUAAAAAUGCAUGUAGUAAAUAUUGUAGAUAAAAUGAUAGAAUGUCGAUUAAGACGAAUCAGUCAUGUCUAACACAGAGCAUCAAAUAUUUUAGUAUGAAAGUGUCAUAAAUUAGUCGAAGGAUAAGUGACAAGGAGAAUGGGAAAACCUAAGAUGAUGUGUAGGAGAGUGAUAUUAAAAGAUUUAUAAGUUUUAGAUUUUAAUGUAGACUUGUGUCUAAUGGAGUUGAAUGAUGAAAAAUGAUCUAUAUAGUUGACCACAACUAAUUAGAGACUAAGAGACCACAACUAAUUAGAGACUAAGAUUUAACUGUUGUAGCUUUUAUAUAUAGUCUAGCCUAUAAUUGGAACAUUGAUAAAUUAGCUGGAUACACAUACGUUACCAUAACUCCUUCGUUCACUAUACAUUAUUGCAUACUAUCUGUAGAGAUUAUUGUGCUUUUACGCUUUACACAUACACAUGUGAAGCAAAUUAGGUAUCAUGGACUGUUUUUGACCAUCACAAUUCACACUUUACACAUACAUAUGUCAAGAGAUUCUAUUGGUUAGUUAAUACCAUAUCUUUGCAAAAUAAGUAUCAUGCACUGUUUUUGACCAUCACUAUUCACACGUUUGUAUCCCUUGACUUACCCGUGCCUAACUAACAGAUGAUGCAACACUUUUG
rnacentral:misc_RNA from 1 species